AGGUGAUACUCUCUCCGUUUCGUAAUGUAAGUCAUUCUAGUAUUUUUCCCAUUCAUAUUGAUGUUAAUGAUUCUAGACAGAUUUAUUGAUAUCAAUAUGCAUGUGGGAAAUGCUAGAAUGAUUUCCAUUGUGAAAAAGAG
rnacentral:misc_RNA from 1 species